rnacentral:rRNA from 2 species
UACGUAGGUGGCAAGCGUUGUCCGGAUUUACUGGGUGUAAAGGGCGUGCAGCCGGGCCGGCAAGUCAGAUGUGAAAUCUGGAGGCUUAACCUCCAAACUGCAUUUGAAACUGUUGGUCUUGAGUACCGGAGAGGUUAUCGGAAUUCCUUGUGUAGCGGUGAAAUGCGUAGAUAUAAGGAAGAACACCAGUGGCGAAGGCGGAUAACUGGACGGCAACUGACGGUGAGGCGCGAAAGCGUGGGGAGCAAACAGG